CCUACGGGUGGCAGCAGUGAGGAAUAUUGGUCAAUGGACGAGAGUCUGAACCAGCCAAGUAGCGUGAAGGAUGACUGCCCUAUGGGUUGUAAACUUCUUUUAUAUGGGAAUAAAAUGUUCCACGUGUGGGAUUUUGUAUGUACCAUAUGAAUAAGGAUCGGCUAACUCCGUUCCAGCAGCCGCGGUAAUACGGAGGAUCCGAGCGUUAGCUGGAUUUAUUGGGUUUAAAGGGAGCGUAGGUGGAUUGUUAAGUCGGUUGUGAAAGUUUGCGGCUCAACCGUAAAAGUGCAGUUGAAACUGGCAGUCUGGAGUACAGUAGAGGUGAGCGGAAUUCGUGGUGUAGCGGUGAAAUGCUUAGAUAUCACGAAGAACUCCGAUUGCGAAGGCAGCUCACUGGACUGCAACUGACACUGAGGCUCGAAAGUGUGGGUAUCAAACAGGAUUAGAUACCCGAGUAGUC
rnacentral:rRNA from 1 species